UUUUUUCAUCAAUGUCACAUGUGACGCCCGAAUGUCAUUUUCAUGCGACGGAAAAAAAUGUUUAUUAAGACGGCGAGCGCCACGAUAUUACAAUUUCCCACUAGUGAAAUAUGGAAAGCGAUUUUUUACGAGAAAAUAACAAGAACUCCUGUAGGAUCGUUACCAAGACACUUCAGUACUCUGAAUGCUGUGAAUAUCUAGAAAGAGACCCGAUUCGGAGAUCUCACGCCAUCUAUGAGUGCCCGGAAACUGUGCAAGAGUCAAACUGUACCCAGAGAUUACAAUGUACUAUUAUUCUAUCAAAAAUAUGUUAUCAACUAUGUUUAUAUUAACAUUCUCAACGUAUGACUUCACUGUUGUUUCCUAGAUUUAAUUUUUAUAUUAUUCUUGAUGUUUUUGUUGUAGCUAGACUUCGUUUUGAACGUUCACCUCGACUCAAACACUUUUCACAUAUUGAGUGGGUCAACGAACCGCCAGUGGUUUGAGUUUUAUAAAUUUUUACAGAGAUGGCGUUGAAAUACGUGUGUGUAUUGAAAAUUUAGUAAUAUUUAAAUUCAUUGUAAACUUUUUCACAAAUGUAUUUUGUACGAUGUUUUAGAAAUUACAUGUAAUAGUAAUA